GUUGUGCAGGCUCCUCCAGGGAAAUCCUCGUUGGAGAGGGAAGUCGAUUUUAUCACGGAACACAAGUUUGCUGCACCAGAAAUUGAGACUGUGAGUAAUCUUCUCUAUCUUUAAACGGCCUUUUACCAUAAAAUUAGCGGGCUUCCGUUUGUGUUUUGACAUUUUUCUUCUCCAGGGAAGAAAAGAUGAUUCUGUGAAAACUCAAGCGGAAAAGUCAGAGAGAAGCCCCAAAACAGGGGAUGCGGGCUUCGAAUGGAAGGAAACCAAGAACUUGGCUGAAGAAUAUGAUUCUAGGAGCCCAGUCAAUAAGAAAUCUCUUGAUGUGAAGUUGGAGCCUGCGAAAUCGGAUAAAGAAGAAAUCAUCUGUGGCAGGCUCCCAGGCCUGAGGCAAGCAGGGAAUAUUCCAAAAGUAGAGCCUACAUCAGAGAAAACGGGUACCAUAUCUGAAUCACCGUGGAGUUAUCCCGUGCUCAGGAGCCUAAUCUCUAUUGCUUACGAACUCUUACUUCUUGAUGUUUUUUCAGCUACGCAAGCUGGAUCCUUGCCUUUGCCCAUGGCUGCGGCUGGCUGGCCCGGUG
rnacentral:lncRNA from 1 species